GCGUUAUCUGCGCCGGGGCGGUCAGCAGACAGCAACUGAGCAGACAUGGCGGCACACAGCUUGCAUAUCACUGGACAGGAGAGGUUUUUAUUACUCCGUUUUUAUACCUAAGAAGGUUUCGUUCAAAUAAGCAAAGUUUGUUUUUAUGUUUUCCUGCGCGGAGAUGCUGCUGGCGUUCUGGUGCGCAAAGCUGUGACUUUCUGUGGCUGAGGCUGCCAAGUUUCCAUGCAGAGCUCCAAACCAGGGCGGCUAUCUCAGAGGAAUGAAGAUGUUCCAGCUCUCCAUGAUGCUGCAGGAGGGACCAAUGUACCUAUAGCAGAUGUUCCAGCUCUCCAUGAUGCUGCAGGAGGGACCAAUGUACCUAUAGCAGAUGUUCCAGCUCUCCAUGAUGCUGCAGGAGGGACCAAUGUACCUAUAGCAGGCAUGAUCAGCGUCGGACAAACACAGCAGCCAGAGAAGAACUAAAGCAUCACAACUGCACAUUCAACUGGAUUUACUGUGUACUGUGUUUAGUGGAAUAUUUGUUUGUAUUUUAUAAAGCUAAUUCAGGCCCCUUCGAGUUUAUAUUGUGGGUUUCCUUUAUAUUUGUCAUUGAUAUGGAUAAUUUACCGAUAUGUAUUUUUUCCAAGAAAAAUAAUCCAAUGAGGCUGAAUAGAAAUACUUAACUGUCUUCAUUAUGUCAUUUAUUUUUACUCCUAAAUUGGUCAGGCUCUCCUGCAUUGAAACUGAUAAAGGAAAUAAAAGCUUCUGUUUCUGAGCUCUCAUCUCGUGCUUCUGGAUAUGGAUUCUCUCCUGUGUGAUUAAUUGCUUGGCCGUUAACGGCUCUA
rnacentral:lncRNA from 1 species